AUACGUAGGGGGCAAGCGUUAUCCGGAUUUACUGGGUGUAAAGGGAGCGUAGACGGUGUGACAAGUCUGAUAUGAAAACCCGGGGCUCAACUCCGGGAUUGCAUUGGAAACUGCCAUACUUGAGUGCAGGAGAGGUAAGCGGAAUUCCUAGUGUAGCGGUGAAAUGCGUAGAUAUUCGGAGGAACACCGGCGGCGAAGGCGGCUUACUGGACUGUAACUGACGUUGAGGCUCGAAAGCGUGGGGAGCAAACAGGAUUAGAUACCCUGGUAGUCCACGCGGUAAACGAUGAAUACUAGGUGUUGGGGGUCUAUAGACCCUCGGUGCCGCAGCAAACGCAAUAAGUAUUCCACCUGGGGAGUACGUUCGCAAGAAUGAAACUCAAAUGAAUUGACGGGG
rnacentral:rRNA from 1 species